rnacentral:rRNA from 1 species
AGUGAACGCUGGCGGUAGGCCUAACACAUGCAAGUCGAACGGCAGCACAGUAAGAGCUUGCUCUUACGGGUGGCGAGUGGCGGACGGGUGAGGAAUACAUCGGAAUCUACUUUUUCGUGGGGGAUAACGUAGGGAAACUUACGCUAAUACCGCAUAUGACCUACGGGUGAAAGCAGGGGAUCUUCGGACCUUGCGCGUUUGAAUGAGCCGAUGUCGGAUUAGCUAGUUGGCGGGGUAAAGGCCCACCAAGGCAACGAUCCGUAGCUGGUCUGAGAGGAUGAUCAGCCACACUGGAACCGAGACACGGUCCAGACUCCUACGGGAGGCAGCAGUGGGGAAUAUUGGACAAUGGGCGCAAGCCUGAUCCAGCCAUACCGCGUGGGUGAAGAAGGCCUUCGGGUUGUAAAGCCCUUUUGUUGGGAAAGAAAAGCAGCAGGUUAAUACCCGGCUGUUCUGACGGUACCCAAAGAAUAAGCACCGGCUAACUUCGUG